rnacentral:rRNA from 1 species
UGGGGAAUAUUGCACAAUGGGCGCAAGCCUGAUGCAGCCAUGCCGCGUGUAUGAAGAAGGCCUUCGGGUUGUAAAGUACUUUCAGUCGGGAGGAAGGUGGUAAGGUUAAUAACCUUGGCAAUUGACGUUACCGACAGAAGAAGCACCGGCUAACUCCGUGCCAGCAGCCGCGGUAAUACGGAGGGUGCAAGCGUUAAUCGGAAUUACUGGGCGUAAAGCGCACGCAGGCGGUUGAUUGAGUCAGAUGUGAAAUCCCCGGGCUUAACCCGGGAAUUGCAUCUGAUACUGGUCAGCUAGAGUCUUGUAGAGGGGGGUAGAAUUCCAUGUGUGGCGGUGAAAUGCGUAGAGAUGUGGAGGAAUACCGGUGGCGAAGGCGGCCCCCUGGACAAAGACUGACGCUCAGGUGCGAAAGCGUGGGGAGCAAACAGG